rnacentral:rRNA from 1 species
CAGGUUGAUUNUGCCUGACGUAGACGCUAGUUUCACAGAUUUAUCCAAGCAAUUUUAGGGAACCCKUGUGGGGACCGGAGGAAGGCUCAGUAACGGGUAUCUAUUUGCUCUCGGAAGGUGAAUAACCUCAGGAAACGGAGGCUAAAAGCCGGGGAGAUUAAGGGACCAGGUCAUCAGUUAGUAGGUAGGGUAAGGGCCUACCUAGACGUAGACGACUAC